rnacentral:snoRNA from 1 species
AGGGAUGAUGAAUCGAUUAGAUGUGCUAAGAAAUUCUCUUUCUAAUGAGCUAAACCUUUGAGGCAUGAUAAAAAUUCUGACCU